GUAUAGUCUUUGUCAUUGAGUCAGAAACCUUCGACAAGUGAGGCCGUGUCAGUGAAUCGUGCUCAAAACGUUUUUCAGACUAAUAGCUUUAUUAAGGGGCUCUAGCAGAUCCCUGAUCUAAUCGGUGAAUCUGACACAGCUUCAUUUGUCGUGAGAGCGGGGAUACCUGCAAGGACAGACUCUUGUCUCAGGGUAACCACGCCGUUUCAGGCUCAAAGACCAGAAGGUAACAUGAAUCCUCUUUAGGUCUCUUUUAGCCUAUGAAACCUAAAUCUGGUCCAUGUUCACUGUAGAAAGUGUAAUUGGUUGUUACUAGCUUUCAUUAUUGUUGGAUUUCUUGCUAAUCUCAAAAUUUUUCCUUGUGCAACCUCUAAAUAUAUACUCAUGUAUACAGUUUCCUAUUCUUUCCUCUAUUUAUUUUUUAAGGCCGCAAGCUACAAGCUAAUUGCUUUCUACAUCUGCUCGUUCAAGAUAUAAAUCAACUUUACUACCGAUGAGUUAAGAUUUUAAAGCCUCUUUAUGGCUCUUAUAACCAUACUAUAGGCAACUGAUCAAGAUAGAAAUCUUAAGUAAAACCAGUCUUCUCACCCUCUGAUCCCUAAACUACUUCAUCCUGUACUUUGUUCUGGUCAGGUAUCUUUACCUAUCAUUCUAAAUCUUGUAUCUUGCGGAUUUUAUUUACAUAUAGGUUGGAAUAUAUACGAUUAGAUCUCAAGAUAUAAAGCUCUGUAUGGUAUUUUAAUGUUGUGAAAUCUUAGUUUCGCCAUGUUUUGGGGAUUCAUACUCAUUCACGGCACGUUAACAUUUUUUUGUGAAAUUUGUUUGGUUAGGGGACUUUUUAAUACUUUGAAAGAGUUCGGCUAAAUGCACUCAUGUUAUUUGUUUGUUUUAACUUAGCACAUAAUGCCCUAUUUUUGUGCCUUCCUUGCAAUUCGGAAAAGGUUAACCUUGUAGAAAAUUAAAUUUUGAAGCACUUCAGCUAGGGCAAGGAAUGUACAUUUUCACAAGUAAAUUACUUCCCCCCACCCUUGCUAUUGUUUAUAAAAGGCGGCUAAGUUUUUAAUUGCAUGAGGCAUAGCCAGCUAUUAGAAAUAGAAAUUUUGCUAGUCUAUUGUGUGCCGUGCGGCUGCAGAAACAAAAUCAAGAUAUAAAUCAAUAAUGCGGCCAAUUAGCUGUAUGCUUGAUCAUACUAUUUCGUCUUUUCUAACUAACUUGUAUUUUCGCCAAGACUUCAUGCACCUCAAGAUAUAAAUCAUAUUAUUUUUGACAUGUAUUCUCUUCUACACAACCUGAAAUGUAACUAUUAGUUCACACUAAAGCAGUUUAAUCAUUAAAUGGAGUAUCCUUUUGAAGUCCUUCCCCUCUUGUGCAUGAUUAAUAUUAAGGGUUGGGGGUACACGCCUUUAAGAUGCUUUCCGUCUGUUAAGGCCUUGGUUCUCGUGAAAUAGUUUAAUGUGGAAGUAUUCAGUUUUUUUUUGAAGUUUCCGUAUGUAACAUGAUCCAUACAAGACAUGAGGGUUUGGUUGUACAACUAAAACUAAUCACAAAACAUGCAUCAAAAGUACACUUAAUGCUUCCUUCCCAUGAUCAAGAUAUAAAUCUUCCUCUCGACAGCAUUUAACAUUUUAUGUCUUAGUCUUAACAUUUCAAUAAUCUUAAAUAAAAAUAAUAAGCAGCACUUGUUUUACCUCCCUAAAUUUUAAUGCUUAAAUUUCAACUUUGUAAAUAGUUUUAUAUGUCUGUAAUUUGUCAUGGUUAAUGCAUGGUACAUAUGCGGGGUGGUAAUUUCACACUUUUUGUGAAAUUAUCUCUAGCAAUCAAGAUAUAAAUCAAGCACAUUUCAAUAUCCAUGCAAGUAAAGUUUUAUGUUAAAUAAAUUAGUUUUGUAACGGUAGUCUUUCACGACUACAUGUUUUUGUUUUAUAUGGUUUUAACUAUACUGCUUCUGUAGUGGCCACGGCACUAACUAUUAAGACACCAAGAUAAAAAUCACCGUGGCUCUACAGAACUUUUUUGGUAAAAUGUUCCAUAUUUCCCUGUCAAUGUUGUUAAAAUAUUUUAUUAAUCAAGAUAUAAAUCUAUUUGUGCCCAAUCUGGUUUUAUUCAGCCCUUGCUAUUGAAUGAAGAUUUAAGUUGCUUGUUGUUAUUGCACAUAGAUUGAAGUACAUUGAAACAAAUAUGUAGUGGGCGGAAAUCUGAAGAUAGAAAAAUAAACUUGCUAAUGAGACCAGAAAAGUUUAAUUUACAUCAAUUUAUGUAGUGCUAAGCCAGAUGGAACUCUACAUAUCAUUAUCAACACAAAAGACGAAAAGUGUUUCAACUCGAGUUUUAGAGCAUGGUGAUAGAACCUGAAGUCUGGCUAAAUCAUUGAUCUUCCACGUUGUCAGUUCAAAGCCGUAUUUUUCAAGCAAGGUAAUGAAGACUUCCUAUAAGCGUCCUGUUUUAAAUUCAUAUUAAGGUCAGUUGAGACUACUUUUGUUCGUGUAGAAAACCAAGCUAAAAAUCAAUAGGCUGCUGACCACCUGGAAGGCUCAAGUUACAAAUCUUAUUUUACAUCUAAAUGGUAACUAAGUUAAAUUACUAAAAAUUAGUUUUUAGGUUGAUAGGACACACAGUUGAAUAUUUUACCUUAAAGAGCAUAGUUGAAACCGAUAUAUAAAUAUAUAUAUAUCACCCUAAAUCCCAGCAAUCAAGAUAAAAAGCUGCUCUUUAGAGCCUUACUACAAUUUUGAUAAAAAGAGAGGUUAGUAAGAAUUCUGAUUUUGGUAGAAAAGCAAGAUAAUCAACUAGGAAAGCCUCAAGAUAUAAAUCAAAUGAAGUUGACAACCAUUUUAGUUUGCUUAGUGGUGACCUCCUAUCAACCAAGAUAUAAAUCUAGUUUAUACCUGUAUUUUGAAUGCUUGUGAAUUAGAAAAAAAUGAUCUAAAAAGAACCAAAGUAGACUAGCAAGUGUCAAAUGAUAUUAAGUGACCAUAUUUCUAGAUUUUAAGUAUUUUAGAAAACUAAUUCUGUGCGUAACUAGCUCUAUUCAUGAACUACUGAGGUAAAAUUCAUAAAAAGCAUUCAAGAAACUUUCACGAUUCUUCCAUGGUUUUACAUGCAUGAUUUGUAUGGGUCUUAACUGUUUUUUCAGACGUGUGGUGAGCUCCUUACGGGCCCACACUAGUCACAUUUUUUCCCGAAUCGGCAGCUCAAAUCUAAGGUAUUUUAAUAAAUCCCAAUUUUUAUUUACUUUUCUAUAGAACAUUUAACAUUUUUUGUCCAACCUAACGCUAUUUCAUAAUUGAAAUUUUAUUAAAUUGUUUCGCAUUGGUUGGAUAAUUCUGUUUUAGCCGUGUGGCGAGCUCCACAUGGGCCCAUACUUAAAUCUCUGAAUCCUCUGAGACCAGACUGGUAAAGAAAAAAGAUCCCAAUCUUUAGGUUUUUUCUGUUUCAAAGUUUUUUUUAUUGUUUUAAUUCCGGAGGGGGACUAACUGUUUUUCAGAAGUGUGGUGAGCUCCAUAAGGGCCCACACUUAGAUGAUUUCGGAUUGAGUUGAAGUAGCGACACCGUCAAGACUAGAGAGGUUGGUCGAGCUAUAUUUAUUUAAGAAUUUUUACUUAAAUGGGGGGGGGGGUCAGAGUAUGGAUGAAUAAUUCUGUUUCAGAAGUGUGGUGAGCUCCAUAUGGGCCCACGCUAAAUGCUCAGCACAAUGAAUGGCUUUCUUUUUGUGUGGAAGGCUGUAAAAUGCAAGGUUUUCUUUUCUGUUUGACUAGCUGAGAGCCCUGGUUUAAGAUUAUUAAAACCUCAAACUGUAGAAGAAUUCAGGUGUUAUUUAUUUCUUGAAAAUAGGAUAUUUUGGUAAUAUCUUUUUCAGAAUUGUGGUGAGCUCCACAUGGGCCCACAAUAGACUGAGUUUCUUACCCCGGUUAGCGUUCCUCAUUCCUAUCUUACGUUCCUUCUCUUUGGUAAAGGUAACAAGUGAGUUAUCCUUUUUUAAAGGAUAUAUUCUAGGUUAACCUGUUAGGUAGGCCACUUUAUACAGUUACUCUGUAAGUUCUCACCAUUCGUAACAGUCAGGAUAUGUAUUGAAGUUAAUAUUAAAAAACAUUUAAUUGGCAUACAGUUACUCUGAAAAGUUGUGUAUUGAAACUAAUACUUUCAACAUUAAAUUGUCUUAAUUUUGGAACAUGUUACCUAAAUAUAAAUAAAAAACUCACUUAAAUACAUACACAUCUCCAUCAUGAAGUGAUAGAAGAUGUCUCUCUGGAAACUAAAGGAUAUGGAUUAAUUUUUUAUUCUUCAAACUUUAGCACGUAGUUACAAUUGAUUCUCUAUUUAAAUUUUUUUUCUAGAACUAUAAGAAAUAUACACUAAUUAAAAUAUUCAUAUUAGCUGUGUAUUCGACAGGAAUUAAAACUACCUUAGGAUGACCCGAUUAUCAUUGGAACUUGUGAGCUCCAUAUGGGCCGAGUUGCCUUUAAUUUUAUAAAUUGAAAACUUUUGAUGCAUUUGGUUAUUUAAACAGACCAUUUAUUAUUAAAAGUUCUCAUUUUAAUCUUUUUCCAAUCUGGAUCAUGUACUGUCAAUUAGGAAAAUUCGGGUUAAUUUUUAUUAAUUCUUAAAAUUAACCCUUUUCUGUCAAACUAUCGAAGUUUGUGUUUAAUUAUUUAGUUAAAGCGACGGCAGGACGAACCAACAGAACAGAUACUGCCAAGGAUUUCCUAAUCUCGAGAGCUCCGUAAGGGCCGGGAUUCAAGUAAGCUAAAUCCUAAAUUGUCUUAGUUAUUGUGAAAAGUAGUGUACAUAUUUCCUUCGGGAAUUAAUUCUUGAUUUAGUGUUGAAAACUGAAACCUGUCGUACUCGUGUGCGCGGUUCUAGGACUACAGAUUCCUGAAUUCACCCUCGUCCUGUGAGCUCCGUAUGGGCCGGGACCAUAGUAAGUUAAAUUCCCAGUGCAUUUUGAACCUCCUAUUUAUAUUAGCCAACCAUCAAGUUGUGAAUAAUUAAGUUAAAUUUGGAGUGUUUGCUUCUAGUAAAUCUGUAACCUGUACGAGAACUGAGUACUGCAGGACAUAUCUUCGUCCCGUGAGCUCCAUAUGGGCCGGGACCAUAGUAAGUGGAUCUUCUUUUUAUGGUUCUUUUGUAUUCCUUAAUUUUUUCAAAUUAUCCGUCAGACAUCUAUUUUCUUAAUCCAAUAAUUUUGCAACCUAAAAUUCACAUGUUUGUGGAUUUGUUUGUUUUGUUAAGUUAAUCCGAAACCUGAACUGAUCAUCAAGGAUGAAGUAUACUGUCGGGUCACAACCUCGUCCUGUGAGCUCCACUUGGGCCGGGUGUAUAGUAAGCUAUUAGUUUUGUCCUAGCCUGGUACUUAACGAUUUUAGUUUACUCAAACUUUAAAAUUCGACACUUAGCAGUUUUCUUUAAUUUUGAUGUAGGAAAUUGACCUGUUAGAGUGAAUGUGGUUACGUGGUACUUGGUAGUAAUGAAGCAAUCUUCGUCCUGUGAGCUCCGUAAGGGCCGGGACCUAGUAAGUUUACUUUUAUUUUAAAAUUAAGUACUCAAAUGGUUCUUAAAAUAAUAUGGUAGUACUGCGGGGUGGUAUCUUUUAGUUAAGGUUGGGAUAAUCCGGCGAGUCCGAGAUUGAGGAUCAGUUGCGCUUUGAGAAAGUACUUCAGAGAGAGAAAGUUGACAAAUCCCUGUUCACGAUCAUAAGUAUUUUAUUCUAGCACCUGGAUUAAGUAAGAAUUCAUAUUUUCCUGUCAAAAAUAAAACGUCUUUAAAAAAUUAUUCUUUAAAAAUUUCUUAAAUGCUAUCUAUAUUUUUUUCUAUAGCCUUACCAGACGUGGAGUGCGCAUUUGCAGCUUCUCUGAACCUGGGUGUCUUGUACUAAUGGGGCAAAGAGGAACAAUCCAACCUUUGGGCGGGCAGAAAUGAUCCCCUUGAGACCGGAAACUAUUUCAUCAAAGAUUGAGAGAUAGCUCUUCACUUCAAUUUCAAUAUCUAGCCGCAGUAAAACCACUUAAAGGCCUCACUGAUAGAUGUCUCUAGUAAGAGACGUUAAACGAGAAUAAUGCGUAGAAUUUAAAUUAUACUACUUCCUCUGAAGAUGUGACCUAAUUUCGAGUUUUCCUGUCCAGUUUUUAAGAUGCUUGGAUCCUUUGAUAAGUGUGAGUCUCCCUACUUUGAUCCGUCUGAUCAACUCGUGUUAACCUGUAAGCUGACAAGCUGGUUAAAUUGUGUCUGUGCGGUUUAGCGUACUUAAUAUUUUUUUCAUCCCCCUGGUCAUGUCAUGAUGUCGACCGAAGAAAGAAGACUGGAAGCAGAAGAAGGACCUUUAACAAAGAAGACCUGGUUGCAGAAGACUUAACAGGUCUGGCGAGCUCCUUUGUUGGGCCCAGAUCUGUUUCAUUUUUUAUCAUGACGGGCAUGGUUAGAGAAAUGAAAGGGAAAGGCCUUCCUAUUUCCCUGAGCCAGCCGUCUUUCCGUUUUUCUGUUUUUUUUUAAGUUCCUUGAAGAGAGACUGGAAGCAGAAGAUUGGUGCAUACUCAGGACUCACCCGAGUUCAUACCUGUUGGUCCCGAGUUCUUACCUGCUGAUCCUAGAUUACUACUUGAGAUGAAGGCAACAAUCAAAAAGCCUGGGUUGCUGAAGCACUGAGAUACCGACUUGGAAUUGCCGAGAUGCCAACUUGGAACUGCAGGCUGGUGGUUUUACUCCGGGUUCUCCGGUUUCCACCAAAUUUUUCUUAAUGCAAAUAAAGAUUUAAACCUA
rnacentral:lncRNA from 1 species